AAGGAUGGCUAAUACCGCAUAAUCCCUGAGGGGGAAAGCGGGGGCUCUUAGGACCUCGCGUUAAUUGAGCGGCCGAUGUUGGAUUAGCUAGUUGGUGGGGUAAAGGCCUACCAAGGCGACGAUCCAUAGCGGGUCUGAGAGGAUGAUCCGCCACAUUGGGACUGAGACACGGCCCAAACUCCUACGGGAGGCAGCAGUGGGGAAUUUUGGACAAUGGGGGGAACCCUGAUCCAGCCAUGCCGCGUGUCUGAAGAAGGCCUUCGGGUUGUAAAGGACUUUUGUUAGGGAAGAAAAGCUGGGUGAUAAUACCACCUGGUGCUGACGGUACCUAAAGAAUAAGCACCGGCUAACUACGUGCCAGCAGCCGCGGUAAUACGUAGGGUGCGAGCGUUAAUCGGAAUUACUGGGCGUAAAGCGAGCGCAGACGGUUAAAUAAGUCAGAUGUGAAAUCCCCGAGCUCAACUUGGGACGUGCAUUUGAAACUGUGUAACUAGAGUGUGUCAGAGGGAGGUAGAAUUCCACGUGUAGCAGUGAAAUGCGUAGAGAUGUGGAGGAAUACCGAUGGCGAAGGCAGCCUCCUGGGAUAACACUGACGUUCAUGCUCGAAAGCGUGGGUAGCAAACAGGAUUAGAUACCCUGGUAGUCCACGCCCUAAACGAUGACAAUUAGCUGUUGGGACACUAGAUGUCUUAGUAGCGAAGCUAACGCGUGAAAUUGUCCGCCUGGGGAGUACGGUCGCAAGAUUAAAACUCAAAGGAAUUGACGGGGACCCGCACAAGCGGUGGAUGAUGUGGAUUAAUUCGAUGCAACGCGAAGAACCUUACCUGGUCUUGACAUGUACGGGAUCUCUUAGAGAUAGGAGAGUGCCUUCGGGAACCGUAACACAGGUGCUGCAUGGCUGUCGUCAGCUCGUGUCGUGAGAUGUUGGGUUAAGUCCCGCAACGAGCGCAACCCUUGUCAUUAGUUGCCAUCAUUAAGUUGGGCACUCUAAUGAGACUGCCGGUGAUAUACCGGAGGAAGGUGGGGAUGACGUCAAGUCCUCAUGGCCCUUAUGACCAGGGCUUCACACGUCAUACAAUGGUUGGUACAGAGGGUAGCGAAGCCGCGAGGUGAAGCCAAUCUCAGAAAGCCAAUCGUAGUCCGGAUUGCACUCUGCAACUCGAGUGCAUGAAGUCGGAAUCGCUAGUAAUCGCAGGUCAGCAUACUGCGGUGAAUACGUUCCCGG
rnacentral:rRNA from 1 species